AUGAUAAACAGAGCUCAGGGGCAAGAUUAUGGUCUGGAACUGUCUCACACACAAUCACACGUGUGCACACAAAUGCCCCACACACAGUCUCUCUCUCUCUCUCUCUCUCUCUCUCUCUCUCUCACUCACUCACACACACACACACACACACACAGCAGCUGGGUCCACUCAGCUGGCAGUUUUAAUACAAGCCUGAUUGAGUGUGUUAAUGCUCUGAUGCAUCUGCCUUGUGAAACAAAGGAUGUUUGGGCAGUGACUAAUAAGAGCGAACUGGUCCUUUAACGAUGAAAGAUACACCACACUACUCCUUGGAGAACAAUCAUUCCCACAGUCUCCUACUGUGUUGUGACCCCUUGCCCUCUCUACGGACGGGUGCAGGAUAGAGGGAUCUAUAAGUUGAUUUGGAAGCUGCAGUGACCGGUGCUGAGCAAGGCUGACCGCUGUCGUUGCCUAGACUUGAGUUCUGUUUGCUGGGUAAACAUACCUCACAUGGCCUUUCUCCUGCCUUCAGCAUCAGGGGUCUAAUCCCAGUCUGGAACAGCACUGUUUUAACACUCAGCUACUAUGUGAAUCUGUAGGACAAAAAAAAAGAAAAGAUGAUCCUUCACAAGUUUUUGCUGUAAAAAUGUCCUGUCUGUGACUGUGUGAUUGCCAAACACCUGCUCUGACAGAAGCAUCCAUAGGCUGGAGAUCUGCUCCUGUCGUUUAUUUUUUACACUUCUUCCAAAUGGGCUGCUGUCUUUACAAGCAAGGUGAUAAUCCCCCUUUUUAUAGCUGUUAAGAUUGCGAACUGGCCUGCUUUCGGAGUGUUAAAACCCAUGACUGGGAUCUGGAAGACAGGAGAUCUCUAAACAGCAGUCGCAACAGCCGCUCUGAGCGAGGCCUACUGUAUGUCUCAGCCAAUCUGGAUUAAGUCCUAACCUCCUCUUUACAGGAUAUUCAGCACAGGAAACAUGACUGUGGUGGGAUGGAGCAUUUCUUUUGUGUUCAGACUGUAUAUACAUUUUUUUUAAUUUAUUUUUUUGAAUAAAAAAAUUGAGGACAGAAAAGAUCCCCA
ensembl:lncRNA